GUUCUCUUGUUUAUAACGACCACCACCAUGACAACUAUUUUGUCCCUUGCCACGCUCACAUAUAUUUAUACGGCCACAAUAAUUAUUUUAUCUUUUUCCAGACUUUGGAUUAUGCAUUCCCAGAUUCGCUUCUGGAAAUGGAGUUGAUCCAGUGGGGCGGGCUUCGUGAUUUUUCAGUAAAAGGGCACUACGUUGUUCGGCCACCAAAAGGCAUGAAAUUAACUCAGAAUAUUUCUCUAAAGCCCUUUUUACGGUAUUGUUGUUGUAACAA
rnacentral:lncRNA from 1 species